rnacentral:rRNA from 1 species
GACGAACGCUGGCGGCGUGCUUAACACAUGCAAGUCGAACGGAAAGGCCCUGCUUUUGUGGGGUGCGCGAGUGGCGAACGGGUGAGUAACACGUGAGUAACCUGCCCUUGACUGUGGGAUAACUUCAGGAAACUGGGUCUAAUACCGGAUAGGAGCUCCUGCUGCAUGGUGGGGGUUGGAAAGUUUCGGCGGUUGGUGGUGGACUCGCGGCUUAUCAGCUUGUUGGUGGGGUAGUGGCUUACCAAGGCUUUGACGGGUAGCCGGCCUGAGCGGGUGACCGGCCACAUUGGGACUGAGAUACGGCCCAGACUCCUACGGGAGGCAGCAGUGGGGAAUAUUGCACAAUGGGCGGAAGCCUGAUGCAGCAACGCCGCGUGCGGGAUGACGGCCUUCGGGUUGUAAACCGCUUUCGCCUGUGACGAAGCGUGAGUGACGGUAAUGGGUAAAGAAGCACCGGCUAACUACGUG